UAAGUUGGUAUUUGUUUGGAAUUGGUGGCUGAGGAUGAGAACCGGAGGAACGGAUGAAUGGUGAGAAGAGAGGAAAAAAGCAGGAACGUUGAAAAAUAUGAAACUGAAUUAGCAGAAUAAUAUUAUGAAAUUGAAAGCUAUUCCUUCAUCGCGUAAUUCCUUUGUAGUAGGUGGAGACUGCAAUCACAAUGUUGCUGCUUCUUCAUCUUCUUCUUCAUCAUCAUCAUCAUCCUGUCACAGACAAAGCAUUGUGAUAGUUGCAAACAAAAACAGGAAGCAGCACGAGACUCAGGGUUCCGAAUCCACUCCUCCAAGAAUCACAUCCAACGUCAAGCAAAACCUCCGCUUCCUCAAGCUAUGGAAGAGCUUCCAAAGUAGAAAUUCUGCAACUCCAAGACCUUCAACCAGUUACCGCAAGAAGAAGGUGGAGAAGGAUGAGGAUGUUGUGGACACCGACCUCUAUCGUGACCCCACCUCCUCUCUCUACUAUACGAACCAGGUGGGUAUUGACAAUGCCGUCCCUGUAUUGCUUGUGGAUGGCUAUAAUGUGUGUGGAUAUUGGAUGAAACUCAAGAAACAUUUCAUGAAAGGAAGACUUGAUAUUGCUCGCCAAAAGCUAAUUGACGAGCUUGUGACCUUCAGCAUGCUUAGAGAGGUCAAAGUGGUUGUUGUCUUUGAUGCAAUGAUGUCUGGACUCCCCAGCCACAAAGAAGAUUUCGCAGGUCUUGAUAUUAUUUUCUCAGGGGAAACAUGCGCUGAUACAUGGAUUGAAAAAGAGGUUGCAGCUUUAAGAGAGGAUGGUUGCCCCAAAGUCUGGGUAGUCACUUCUGAUCAUUGCCAUCAGCAAGCAGCACAUGGAGCUGGAGCCUUUAUUUGGAGUUGCAAGGCGUUGGUAACAGAGUAGAUCAAAGCAUCGCAAAAGGAGGUUGAAAGGAUGCUUCAAGAGCAAAGUUCCACCUCUUUUCAAGGUAGAUUAUUGAAGCACAAUCUUGAUGCAGAAGUAGUGGAUGCCCUAAAGGACCUGAGGAAACAACUAUCUGAAAAUGAGUUGAAGUAAAAUAUGAUGUCUGACAGAAAAAUUCUCUACAAGGAAAUAAUUCUACUUAGCAGAUGACCAAAACUCGUUUAGGAGUAAUGCGAGUAUUUUUGUUACUUUUUAUUGUUUGUUAAUUAGCCUAUAAGCAUUUGUAUAUUUUUUUUCACGACAUUUAUAAAAAAGUGGUUUAACGUAUUGAUUCAAACCUCAUUAUCCAGUUGAUUAUUGAAAUGAAAAGAACAUAUGAUUUGGGA